rnacentral:lncRNA from 1 species
CUUCCUAAAAGGAUAUAGAAGACAGUUGACUCUUUCUUAUACAUACACUCACCUGAAUCUGAAGAAUGAGCAAGAAACUGCCAAAAAGAACUCUGAGUAACCAUAUGCCUUCCUUCUGUUUGUCUACUAUGCAAGACUAUUCCAUAGCAUAUUAAGAUGUUUCCUCCAAACUAGCAAGUAGGAUCUAGAUUUAAUCUUCAACUAUUCAAUACCGAUUCUACAAAAGCAUAGAGGUGAACAGAGUGCUGGGACCUACAGUGUCAUUUCUUCCCCCUAUUACCUUAAUGAAUGUAGCCAGUUUGCUUACUUCACUUUUGCUCUUGGAUAUUGACAACUGGCUGUCUUCUUCUUCAGGUGGUCAGGUGCUAGUUGUUACUCAGUGAAUCCCCAGUUCUCUAGGCUUCUCUGAGAGAUAGCCAAGACUUGUUUUCAGUCACCAAUGCCUUUAAUCAAACUCGCUUAAAUAGCAACCCAGUUUUUACCACAUGCCAAAGUCUAUCACUGACAGAAAUUUUAAUGUUUCAUCUAACCCACAUCUCCCUCAAAACUUUGCUAAAAUGCCAUUUUUUUCUGUGAUUACUUCCAUUUAUUUUUCUCCGUAGCUUUCUUCACCUUAUGACCUAUAAUAUAAUGUACUAAUUAUGUUUGUUUUCACUUUUCCUACACUAGUACAUGAGCUCUAAUAAGGCAGAGGUUUUUGCCUGUAUACUUCACUGAUAUAUUCUUGGAACACAGAAGACUACCAGGUAUAUAGAAAGUGCUCAUAAAAAUUUGUUGAAUUAAUUAAUCUAGCACAAUUGAUUUUAUAUCACACCUUUUUGAUGUUGACAGUUAUCUGAAUUAAAUAAAUUGGAUCCAUACCUCCUUGUAUUUCUGAUAGAGUUUUAAUGACUGGUCCUACCUCUUACAGAUGAGGUCAUCUCCCUUCAUGUUCAUAGUCUUCAUGCUUUAG